GCAUUGUAAGAACACAUAGGAUUAUGCCGGAAUCGUUUAAACAAUUAUGCUAAAACUUUAUGCAUGAUUAACUAUCAGAUCUGAAAGGUAAACACUUUACUCCGAUUAAUCUCCGAAUAUUCAUCGAAUGGAUUCUGGAGAUAACUCCGUGAGGAGCCCCAAAGGAGGGUAAAACCUCGGAGAAUCGGACCUAGACCCUGACUCCAAAAUAAAAGAUUAAUAUAGAAUUAAUACCUUUUAUG
rnacentral:lncRNA from 1 species